rnacentral:rRNA from 1 species
CAGCCGCCGCGGUAAAACAGAGGGUGCAAGCGUUAAUCGGAAUUACUGGGCGUAAAGCGCGCGUAGGUGGUUUGUUAAGUUGGAUGUGAAAGCCCCGGGCUCAACCUGGGAACUGCAUCCAAAACUGGCAAGCUAGAGUACGGUAGAGGGCGGUGGAAUUUCCUGUGUAGCGGUGAAAUGCGUAGAUAUAGGAAGGAACACCAGUGGCGAAGGCGACCACCUGGACUGAUACUGACACUGAGGUGCGAAAGCGUGGGGAGCAAACAGGAUUAGAUACCCCUGUAGUCCCUGUCUCUUAUAC